GCAAUGAUCGUUCAGCGGUAGAAUUCUCACUUUCCGUGUGGGAAACCUAGGUUCAAAUUCCCAGCCAAUGCG
rnacentral:tRNA from 1 species